rnacentral:rRNA from 1 species
AUGGGCGGCGACUGGCAGGAGCUGGCCCAGUCGGCGGUCAUCGGCCUCAUCUUCGCCUUCCUCGUCGCCAAGCUCAUCUCCGUCGUCCUCGCCUUCAAGGAGGACAACCUCCGCAUCACCCGCUCCGCCCCCGCCCCCGCCCCCUCGCCCGACGCCACUGCCCCCGCGCUCGACGGCGGCACGAGCGGCGGCGACGGCGACAGCGACGGCGACUGGGAGGGCGUGGAGAGCACGGAGCUCGACGAGGACUUCAGCGCCGCCUCCGCCUUCGUCGCGGCCUCCGCCGCCGGCGUCCCCGAGGAGGCGCAGCUCCGCCUCUACGGCCUCUACAAGAUCGCCACCGAGGGCCCCUGCACCGCGCCGCAGCCCUCCGCCCUCAAGCUCANNNNNNNNNNNNNNNGGAAUGCUUGGAAUAAAUUGGGUGCUAUGCCAACAGAAGAAGCUAUGGAGGAGUACAUAACAAUUGUUGAUGAGAUAUUCCCUAACUGGGCUGAUGGCUCGAAAAAGAAAGAUGGGGAAACCACAAUGUCUGCAUCAGGUUCGAAGGGACCAAUGGGACCUGUAUUUAGCAGUUUAAUGUACGAGGAAGAUCAAGGAAAUGAAUCAGAACUUGGUGACAUCCAUGUUUCUGCAAGGGAAGGAGCAAUCGAAGACGUUAAAAAGCAUCUUGCUGCUGGUGUACAAAUCAACUUAAGAGAUAGCGAAGAGAGAACUCCGUUGCACUGGGCUGUGGACCGGGGUCAUCUAGAUGCUGUUGAGGUUCUUGUCAACUCAAAUGCGGACGUGAAUGCUCAGGACAACGAAGGGCAGACAGCGCUCCACUACGCCGUCCUCUGCGAGAGGGAGGACAUCGCCGAACUGCUCGUCAAGCACCACGCGGAUCUCCAGAUCAAGGACGGCGACGGGAACACCGCCCGGGACUUGUGCUCCUCGGCCUGGCCGUUCAUGAAGCCGGCAAACUGA